rnacentral:tRNA from 1 species
CAAAGUGUAGCUUAACUAAAGCGUCUGGCUUACACCCAGAAGAUCUCACGCACUAACUGAUCACUUUGA